rnacentral:rRNA from 1 species
UACGUAGGGUGCGAGCGUUGUCCGGAAUUACUGGGCGUAAAGAGCUCGUAGGUGGUUUGUCGCGUUGUUCGUGAAAUCUCACGGCUUAACUGUGAGCGUGCGGGCGAUACGGGCAGACUUGAGUACUGCAGGGGAGACUGGAAUUCCUGGUGUAGCGGUGGAAUGCGCAGAUAUCAGGAAGAACACCGGUGGCGAAGGCGGCUCUCUGGGCCUUACCUGACGCUGAGGAGCGAAAGCGUGGGUAGCGAACAGG